AUCGCCUGUAGCGUAAUGGAUUGCUCAUUGGACCUCUAAUCCAAAGGUCGUGGAUUCGAAUCCUACCUGGGAUG
rnacentral:tRNA from 1 species